rnacentral:tRNA from 1 species
GGGGAUGUAGCUCAAAUGGUAGAGCGCUAGCCUUGCAUGAGAGAGGUACAGCGUUCGAUCCCCCGCAUCUCCA